UUCUGCUGCCUUCUGGUUCUGUGCUCUCGUAGAGAAAAGCUGUAGGCAAUCAUCAGUUGAUCAUUCCGUCUAUGAUUACUACGUGAAGAUAGGUAGGGGCUCUGGGCCUCUGGCAUGGCAAAUCUGUUUACUAUGCCGUGAGAAUUCGGACAUAGCACACGAGUAACUGAUCAAGGCAGCGAGACGACGACUAAGAUUAUUUGGUCGCAGUACUGGCUGCCAUGCCUUGAGAGUUGAACCGAUCAAGCAGAAUCUGGGCAUGUACUGGGGGAAUCCUUCCGGAAACAACUAGCACCGCAUUUGAAGAGUUAAGCUACUUGGAGACUAUAGCUGCCAGGGGCAAAGAGAGAUCAACAAGAGGCGACCUGUCAAGAAGCUCAUUUGCAAGAAAAGCAUACACAAAGCAAAAAAAUUCUUUCCGAGGGCCUCUUCAAUUCAGACAACACUCAAUCUGUCCCAUAAUAUAAGACAAUUUUUCAGGUAAAUAUAAGACAUAAAACAUCUUAUAUUAUGAGACGGAGGGAGUAUUUCUUAUGCGGGGAUUAAUUCACAUGAUGGAAACAUGAAAAAGAAAGCUGCAAGAUUACAUUGUUAUGUCCACCUGCUUGCGGUUGCAGCAGGAUUAAAUGCGCAUAAGAGUUGUCUCUUCGUUGAAAGCUAAGAGGUGAUGGUAUUUGUCUAGGUCCACAAGGAAGGGAGGGUAAGGCGAAAGAGCGGAGUUCGUGGCAAAUCCAUGUCCUUGCUUCUUCCGAUUCCGAGACCAGCAGGAAGACAAGGCGCUCCGAUCUGACAUUCCCCAAAGGACCACCACUAUCUACGGCCUCUCGCUGUUGAGAUAUUUCCUGAACCGGCCGGGCAAUGAUCAAUCACACUCGGAUCGACCACUUAUGGCUCCUGCGCGCGGGUGGCCGCCGGAUUCCCAGCCGGCCGGACGCCUCGCGUCCACGCAGCCACGGUUCAGCGUAACUAGCCGCCGGCAACUUGUGUAGGUGAAGAAAAAGGGCCGGAUCAUCCCAUGUGAAGCGUAACAUCAUCGCCGCCAACUUGGCGCUGCUGCCUCGUCGAUAGGCUCGUAUGGUCUGACCGUCGCUGUCGUGGCGUGGCGAGAUGCGAUGCGUAUGUAAACUUAUAAGUAUAUCGUGGAAACAAGAUGCAGUCUUGCUCCAAAACAGAUCGUUGGGAACGUCACCCUCAGAUAUUGUUCGUCCCUAAAGGAAGCCCUGCAAUAAUGAGCUUACGCAGCCGUGAAGAGCCACGGCCACCACCAUCCUCCAUCUCCUGCACGAAUGAGACCCAAGUUGCACCGCGGAAGACGGAAAGCAACAAAGUUGAGACAUUCUUCUUGCCCAAAAGAAAGUUUUCCUGCGAAAUUAUUCCGGCCUCUCCCACCUCCGAUGGAGCUGGUCACUUCCGAAGAACUUCGCAGUAUGUCAUUAGCUGCGAGCGCACUCGCGCUGCUGGAUUCAAAGCGAUCGGCCAUGAUGAGAUUUCAAUCAUACAAGCAACGAUGUCACCGUGCGAAUUUUAUUCGAUGCGGCCAAGCUUUCUUUUUCUUUGAAGACGAGUAACAUGCAUGACACAGCACACUCAGAGAGAUUAAUGUACUGAUGAUCAGUUAGGCAUCGGGUUCAGGUAAUUUCCCGAAAGGUGGUGAGGUUCUGCAAAGCAUGAUGGAUGGUGGCGAAAGGGAGACUAGUACUGGCUGCUAGAUUUGGGUACUCGUGGAUGGAACUUGGCCAAGAUUUGGGUAUUCCAAAGGGCUACUACGCCUACAUGCAAGACCUGCUCGCGUAGGCUACCGAUGCAAGGGAUCUAGCUAGGGCCUAUCAAAGAUUUCUGAUAUAUACGCUGACGAAGGGGCAAAACCGAAACCAUAUUGAACAAGCUUUGAUCGCAGAGGUGGUUUUAUUAUGGUUUUAGCAUCUCUACAGCCCAACUCAGUCACAACACCCACGAAUAAAGGUUGGAGAAUCAUGAACUUUUAUUCUUCCUUUUAGUUUUAAAAUAUUCAUUACUCUCUGGUGCGCUUGUGUAUAGGAAUUGUGAGUUUUUCUCCGAUAUAUCGUUUCGGCUUUCAGUCAAUGUUUGGUGGCUUUGUAACCAUGGCGCCAUCUUAGCAUGAUGUUCUCCUCCGGGCUUUG